rnacentral:antisense_RNA from 1 species
CCGCGACGGCUCCCACCCGCCUUACCCGGAAUCAGCCGCGCCGCAGUCGGAGGAAAUAGACGCGGGGCCUGAGGCUCAUGGACUUGAGAGGCUGCAGAAAAGGCCCAGGAGGCUGUUGAUGACAUGAACGACCACCAGGAGAAGCUGGAGCAGGCUGAUGCACAGAAGGGCGGAGAAGAGGGACACGUGCCAGACAACAGCUGCAGAGGGCUCCAGGCAGACAGAGUUCCAGAGCCAACGGUCAUACAAAUAAUUCCUAUCCCAAAAAAUAAGGAGACCACGAAUCAGGCGAUAAGUAAGGAAAGCCAAACAGGCAACCCCAGUACAAAACUGGGGUCUCCCCUGACCGGGUCAUGGGACUGGGCUCGUGAGGGUGACCAUUACUGCUCCAUUUGCAAUUUUCUGAGUAUCAGAGGAGCAAGAUGCUAGGAUGUGUGACCCAAAGGAGUUUGUAGUUCAUCUGUGUGUCUUUUUGUCUCUCUCUCUCUGUCUGAAAAGACCAAGCCCAAGCCUCCACCCAUUUACCUAUUAUGCAGGUCUUUGAAUGGGUAACCAUAUUUCCAAGCCUGUGUCUGAUUGAAGGACGAAACAUCAAACAUGCAAAAAGGACCAUCUUUCAGAGCAACUCCAGAAGUGACAAAGCAAAUCAGGGCUCCAAGUAAAGCCAGGCCACUUGACAACAGAGCAGUAAGCACCUGCGGAGGGAGGGAGAAACGCUGAGCUAAGACGGGGUCGCGGCUGGGGAGCCUGUGGGGCGGUCUGCACAGGUCUGACUUCUCUGGUCUCAGGUGUUCUUCCGUCCUGUCACAGGGGAGAAUUCUGUCCAUGGCACGCCCUUUGAAGCAUAACCCAAGGUGGGGAGGCCAGUGAGGGGUUUCCAGGAGAGAAAGGACCAAGAAGCAGAAUCGCAGGCCCUGGAUCUCCCUGACUCCAUGAGUUCGCCUGAGCUGCUUAGCAGCUUGGCAUCACAAACCUUUUGCAGAUUAUGGCCAUUCAGCCUCUGAGCUAAAGAGGCAGGUUAUCACAGGCCCACCUCUGACUCUUCUAAGGAAAAGCUGCAUUUUCAAAAGUUCCAGGUUCCCAACUCUGAUUCUUCUCUAUUUCAAAUCAAGGAUAAAAAAAAAGGAAGGGAGGGAAGGAAGGAAAGAAAGAAAGGAGGAAAGAAGGGAAGGAGAGAAGUGGAAAGGAGGGAAAGAAGGGAGAGAAACAGCGAGACAGAAGCUGCAGCCAAACUCUGAAAUGACCCCACUUCUGUCGCUGCGUUUCUCCAGCCAAGAGCUUUCUUGGCCAUCAGUCUGUGCUCUCACUGCCCUCUCAGAAAAUAACUGGGUUUCCUUCCUUGACAGGUUUCUAGCCUGCUUCUGUAUUGGCUUCUUUCUCGUUCCUUCCUUCCCUUCCUUCCUUCCUUCUCUCUCUUUCUUUCUUUCUUUUUGAGACAGAGUCUCGCUCUGUCGCCCAGGCUGGAGUGCAGUGGCACGAUCUCAGCUCACUGCAACCUCCGCCUCUGAGUUCAAGCGAUUCUCCUGCCUCAGCCUCCCAAGUAGCUGGGACUACAAGCGUGCGCCACCACGCCUAGCUAAUUUUUGUAUUUUUAGUAGAAAUGGGGUUCCACUGUGUUGGUCAGACUGGUCUCAAUCUCCUGACCUUGUGAUCCACCUGCUUCAUUCUCCCAAAGUGCUAGGAUUACAGGCGUGAGCCACCGUGCCCGGCCCAUAUUGGAUUCUUUCUUAGGGUUCUAGAUUUUUUUCUCCCUCCCCCAAAAAAUGCCGAUUUUAAAAAUGCG